GAUCCAGUGGAGACGCAGUGGGGCCUGUAGCUCAGAGGAUUAGAGCACGUGGCUACGAACCACGGUGUCGGGGGUUCGAAUCCCUCCUCGCCCAC
rnacentral:tRNA from 1 species